AUGAGAAAAAAAAUGAAGAGGAACUUUUCAGGACGAUACUCCGCCGCCACGAGGCGGAACCUUCGCGGAUCCAAUCUAGAGCUCUGGCAGAGCUGGUCUGCCGGGAAAACUUCCCUCCGGGAGAGGGAAAUCAUCACCAUCGUCAUCACCAACGCUCCUCUCAUCGGGAGAGGGCAAUCUCCAUCAACAUCUUCACCAGCACCAUCUCAUCUCCAAACCCUAGUUCAUCUUUUGUAUUCAAUUCUUGUCUCAAAGUCCGGGAUUGGUGCUAGUAGGUUGCUAGUAGUGUUGAUUAAUCCUGGUAGUUGA
rnacentral:rRNA from 1 species